rnacentral:sRNA from 1 species
CUACGGUGCACACGCAUGUCUCUGCCUCAGAGUACAUCUGUAAGUAUCUCUUGGGAUACACUUUGGCUCAAGUCUCAGGCUGUGGGUGGAAACCCUCCAGCAUCAGCAAAUCCUAAACAGAGCAGAGCCCCAGAUUUAGUCACGUUUCCUGCUUUGCCUACACCUGAAGAUAGGUGGUGCUUCUUGUAAUGAUAGUGACCCUUAAUAGACACUAUCAGCUGAGGGCCUGCCAUUGCAUUUUAACUCACUUUAUAUGCAUGGAAGAGAGCGUGUAGGCACUUACUGUUGUUGUUGUUGUUGUUGUUGUUGUUGUCGUCGUCGUCGUCGUCAUUUCACAGGGAAGGAUCCUAAUCUCCCUGCCCUGGGUGUUCACGCCAGUCCCCAGUCCUUCGUGCAGCCUCCUGCACCUCUUUUUCUUCCCCUGUCUCCGUUUCCUAAGAGUCUCCCAGGUGCUACAUCUGAGUGCUUUACAUUAUCUAAUUAGCUCAUUUGGCUUCUAGAGCAACAAGCCAACCCAGGCGCUCGCUUUCCCCACACGACUGCAGCACCCUCAGAAACACGGAGCGGUUUAGAGCUGUAGAGAGAUUGCUUUUGUGCACGCGCAUGCCCAUUAUGGAUGUUCGUGAUGGGCCCUGGGGCUGCUGUUCUUCAAGCCUGAUAUGAGCCUCCAGAUAACUCUGGAGGGAACCUUUUACCCUCAUCAUUACCAUCGCCCCUACUGUUUGUAUCGCCAGUGACCGAAGCGAGGCAGGAAAUAAGGGCAAAUAGAUCGUGUGGAAAGUGGUCACAGAAUCAGAAGAUGACUGCCUUGGGGUGGCGAAUUGAACACUCACUACUAAAGACUGCUGAAAAGAUGCCUGAAAAGUAGGUUUGGAAAUUAAAACUGCAAUCUCUGUACAACAACAAUAAAUGAAAAAAGAGACCACGAGUUUGAAAGAGAACAAAGAAAGGAAGAAGAAAAGGACCUGGAAAUGGAGCAAGACUGUGCACCCUCAAGGCCCGCCCCUUCGUGACGUACUUCCUCCGGCAAGGCUGCGGCUCCAAAAGGUACCAUAAGCUCAUCAAACAAUACCGCCAACUGGAAAUUUAAGUGUUCAAAUACCAGAGGCUGUGGUGGACAUUUCUCAUACAAGCCACAGCAUACUUUUUACCCAGUUUCCUCUAUGGAGACAGGGCAGAAUUCCACCUGGGAAGCAGGACUUGGCGGAGUACGGUCAGGGAACAGCUCAGUUCCUCUCCGCAUUUCCCAUUGCCUUUCGUAGGAAUACCCACUUUCCUCCAUCCCUGCCCUCUCUUUUGAUCCUCGGCUAUUACCAAUCUGCUCGGCAGUUCAGUAACUUCGCCAGUUGAAGGAUAUCAUGUAAUGGAACCAUCGCUAUCGCUGAGUAAUCUUCCACAUAAUGAAUACAUAUCGGACGAACAAACACUCAUUUUUGGCAGGACAUCUGGAGUAUUUACAGUCUGGGGCUAUUACAAAUAAAAGCGUCGUGGGUAUUUCUGCAUAGGUUUUUGUGGGAGUUCCAAGUUUUCAUUCUUUUGGUAUAAAUGUCCAAGAAUGCAGUUGCUAGGUCUUACAGGGGUUCAACCCAAGAUGUUCAACUUCACAAUGGAGCUAAAAGGCAAUACACAUUCAGCGGAGAUGAACUUUGAAUUUUGACAUUUUCUUGUAGUAGGGAUGUAGUUUUACACAGUUGUGUUGUGAUGAGAAGGGGUCCUGAGAUUCAGACCUUUCUCAACCACAGAAUCACAAGGGUAAGCUACCUCUGGAGCAUACAUUGUACUAAGUGUGAUACUCAGGAGGGAAGUUGUGGUAGUUUGAAUAUAUUUGGCCCACAGAGUGCAUGGUACGAAGUGUGACCUUGUUGCAGUGGGCGUGGCCUUGUUGGAGGAAGCGUGUCCCUGUUGGGCUGGGCUCUUUUCUAGCUGCUUGUGAGACAGUCUUCUCUUGUUUGCCUUUGGAACAAGAGAUAGAACUCUUACCUCCUUCUCCAGCACCAUGCCUGCCUG